GGCGGGCUGCAGCGCCUCGAUGCAGAGCAGGCCGCGCCGCAGACGCCGCUCGUCGUACAGGCUCGGGUUUUGCACUAGAUGCUGGAAAAGAAGACAUGUGGAAUCAUAAAAAACGCAAAUGUUUGGCUACAUCUCACAUUUGACCUGUUCAUGGCAGAAUGAAACAAAUCCAGAGAGGUAAGAAAACACACUUGGGGAGCAUUACAUAACCAGAGAGAAGACCACACAUACGGAAAACUUGCACAUUCCUGAGCAGAGCAAGCAACAUCUGGAAGAAGGGCAGAAGCAAGACACUGAAAUCCAUAGUAAUGUGGAGUGUAAGUUUCUGGAGGUAUUAUUAACAGUUUUAUUAUUGCCAAGCAAUCAUGUUCUCCCCACCCAUCACCCCAUCCCCCUCUCCUUAAAAAAAAAAAAAAAUAAAUAAAGUCAGGAAGGAGAUUUUGUAAACCAUACUCACGAGAACUACAGGGAGGUCCUACCGGACUGGUAGGAGGGGUGAUUGGCAGAAGUCGAGGAUCUAUGAAUGAAGUGAAUGAUGUUGUAGAUGAUGUGCUGCUCUUUGAAGGUGUACUUUCAGUGGAUGGGGUCUACAAUGAAAUACAAGAGCUGCUUCAGGAAGAUGUCACUAAGGAGCAGACCACACACAGCAAUGCAGGUGCCUCUGAGGUUCGGAUGGAAUGGCAUGUGACAUAAUUAGAUGCGAUAAGCAUGCUUAGAAAGUAGAUAGAUGGUACAAAUCAAAUGACAAGAGGAAGCCUGAGCUGGGAGUUCUAUCAGCACUUUGAUCUGGCACUGCACUGCAAUGAAGUAACUGGUCCCCAGAAGAACCUCCACACACAUUUAUCACUCCCUGCUGUCUCGUCUGCAACAGGGCACUGCUUAAACCUCUGUGCAGCAAGGAGCAAGCUGUUGCCUCAGCUAAGGCAGCUCAGGGUGUGCCUCAUGACAGAGCUGCGAACUGCUUUCAGUGCCACACUUCUCCUUAGCAGAGCCCCUUGUGCUCACAGUGGUAUCAGAGCUCUACUCAA